AGUGAACGCUGGCGGUAGGCCUAACACAUGCAAGUCGAACGGCAGCACAGUAAGAGCUUGCUCCUACGGGUGGCGAGUGGCGGACGGGUGAGGAAUACAUCGGAAUCUACUUUUUCGUGGGGGAUAACGUAGGGAAACUUACGAUACUACCGCAUACGACCUACGGGUGAAAGCAGGGGAUCUUCGGACCUUGCGCGAUUGAAUGAGCCGAUGUCGGAUUAGCUAGUUGGCGGGGUAAAGGCCCACCAAGGCGACGAUCCGUAGCUGGUCUGAGAGGAUGAUCAGCCACACUGGAACUGAGACACGGUCCAGACUCCUACGGGAGGCAGCAGUGGGGAAUAUUGGACAAUGGGCGCAAGCCUGAUCCAGCCAUACCGCGUGGGUGAAGAAGGCCUUCGGGUUGUAAAGCCCUUUUGUUGGGAAAGAAAAGCAGCAGGUUAAUACCCCGCUGUUCUGACGGUACCCAAAGAAUAAGCACCGGCUAACUUCGUG
rnacentral:rRNA from 1 species